rnacentral:rRNA from 1 species
AGAGUUUGAUCAUGGCUCAGAAUGAACGCUGGCGGCGUGCCUAACACAUGCAAGUCGAGCGGGGAUAGUCCUUCGGGAUGUGUACCAGCGGCGGACGGGUGAGUAACGCGUGAGAACAUACCUUUUAGUGAGGAAUACCUCAGGGAAGCCUGAGUUAAUACUGCAUAAUCCCUUAUGGGGCAAAGGUGGCUUUAUGCUGCCGCUAAAAGAUUGGCUUGCGUACUAUUAGCUAGUUGGUGAGGUAAAGGCUCACCAAGGCUUUGAUGGUUAACCGGCCUGAGAGGGUGUACGGUCACAUUGGAACUGAGAUACGGUCCAGACUCCUACGGGAGGCAGCAGUGGGGAAUAUUGCGCAAUGGGCGAAAGCCUGACGCAGCAACGCCGCGUGGAGGAUGAAGGUCUUCGGAUUGUAAACUUCUGUCUAGUGAGAAGAAAGACUUGCUAAUAAAACGGGCAAGGGAUGACGGUAUCACUAAAGAAAGCACUGGCUAAUCUCGUGCCAGCAGCCGCGGUAAUACGAGAGGUGCGAGCGUUAUUCGGAAUUAUUGGGCGUAAAGGGUGCGUAGGCGGUAUGAUAAGUCUGUUGUUAAAUCUCCUGGCUCAACCAGGAAACUGCAAUGGAAACUAUUGUUCUAGAGGGUGAGAGAGAGAAGUGGAAUUCCAGGAGUUAGCGGUCAAAUGCGUAGAUCUCUGGAGGAACACCGAUGGCGAAGGCAGCUUCUUGGCUCAUUUCUGACGCUGAGGCACGAAAGCGUGGGGAGCAAACAGGAUUAGAUACCCGUAGUCC